GGUCACGAGUGCCAACGCAGAGCCCCGGCUUGCCGGCCGGCAACCCUCCGUUCGCGGGCGGGGUGCUCCGGCAUGGUGAUGCCUGCGCGUCUGCGGUGUCCUUGGUGGACUCCCGUAGAGUGAGCGUCGAUU
rnacentral:ncRNA from 1 species